GUAAUGCCGGAUGCUCCAUCACACUGCAUGGUGUGUUGGGAAAGCCUUUGCGGCAUGGGAUGGGGUCGCGUCCUAUCAGCUUGAUGGCGGGGUAACGGCCCACCAUGGCUUCGACGGGUAGCCGGCCUGAGAGGGCGACCGGCCACAUUGGGACUGAGAUACGGCCCAGACUCCUACGGGAGGCAGCAGUGGGGAAUAUUGCACAAUGGGCGCAAGCCUGAUGCAGCGACGCCGCGUGAGGGAUGGAGGCCUUCGGGUUGUAAACCUCUUUUGUUAGGGAGCAAGGCAUUUUGUGUUGAGUGUACCUUUCGAAUAAGCACCGGCUAACUACGUGCCAGCAGCCGCGGUAAUACGUAGGGUGCAAGCGUUAUCCGGAAUUAUUGGGCGUAAAGGGCUCGUAGGCGGUUCGUCGCGUCCGGUGUGAAAGUCCAUCGCUUAACGGUGGAUCCGCGCCGGGUACGGGCGGGCUUGAGUGCGGUAGGGGAGACUGGAAUUCCCGGUGUAACGGUGGAAUGUGUAGAUAUCGAAGAGAAAAA
rnacentral:rRNA from 1 species